rnacentral:rRNA from 1 species
UACAGAGGAUGCAAGCGUUAUCCGGAAUUAUUGGGCGUAAAGAGCUCGUAGGCGGUUUGUUGCGUCGGCUGUGAAAUCCCGAGGCUCAACCUCGGGUCUGCAGUCGGUACGAGCAAACUAGAGUGUUGCAGGGGAGACUGGAAUUCCUGGUGUAGCGGUGAAAUGCGCAGAUAUCAGGAGGAACACCGGUGGUGUAGACGGCUCACUGGACCAUAACUGACGCUGAGACACGAAAGCGUGGGUAGCAAACAGG